UACGUAGGGGUCGAGCGUUGUCCGGAGUUACUGGGCGUAAAGCGUGCGCAGGCGGUCUGUUAAGACCGAUGUGAAAUCCCCGGGCUUAACCUGGGAACUGCAUUGGUGACUGGCAGGCUUUGAGUGUGGCAGAGGGAGGUAGAAUUCCACGUGUAGCAGUGAAAUGCGUAGAGAUGUGGAGGAAUACCGAUGGCGAAGGCAGCCUCCUGGGCCAACACUGACGCUCAUGCACGAAAGCGUGGGGAGCAAACAGG
rnacentral:rRNA from 1 species